rnacentral:misc_RNA from 1 species
AAAAAAUAAAACAAUCACCUAGUCGUUGGAAAUUAUGUUAACCACGACCGCUCAAGUCAUGAGUAAAAAGAUUCGGACUCUUUGAAAAACAACACAGGCCUCACUAAAUUGAUCGUUUAUAUUGACUGGAAGCUAAAAUGAAACUGCUUGGACUUGGGGCGCAGGUUUUGAGGCUCAAAACUGGCGGGCAGAGUCGCUCUGCGAAAACUUGCCCACCGGAAGUUCGCCCGCCCUCGCCAUGUUGUCCCAAAAAACGCUUUUGGACUUUCAAGCGAGUGAUAUGUUUCUCCACGUUAACUUUUGGCGCCGGGGUUUAUACGGGAAUCUAUGUGUCACAGAACUAUGAGGUUCCCCGAGUGGAUGAUCCCCAGAAAUUGGUCCAGCGUUUCAAUGAGAAACUCAAGGAACUAAUGGAUCAAACCAAGAACAAGUAACAGCCUUGGUAGUUUUGUACAAGGAUAACGUUACCUUCGCUAAAUUCAAAGUCAUAGAGAGACCUUUGUUAUUAAAAUUGUAAAAAUUUUAUAAGCCCAAAUUUGUCAACUAAACCUGGUUUUUUUUGCGAUAUCUUAUAUUGAGCUUUCCACGCGCUUGUUUUACAAAUUCUGAAAAUAGGACGAAGUGCUGAAAAAAAGCGUAUGAAGUCGAGAUGAUUUCCUUCCAUUGUGGUUAAAUGAUCGCUGUUCUCAAUAAAAACUCUUUGCCAGAUCGCCCGGCGAAAAACUGGUGGAUGACAUCAAAAAGGAGGCCAAGAAGAUACUAGACGACUGACUGGCGGAAUAAAACCACAUUUUUAGUUUAAACAAAUUUAUCUAUGAUCAAAUAAAGAGAAUCUAUAUGUGUAAAACUA